UGGGGAAAUUGGACAAUGGGCGCAAGCCUGAUCCAGCAAUGCCGCGUGUGUGAAGAAGGCCUUCGGGUUGUAAAGCACUUUUAUCAGGAGCGAAACGCUGUCGGCUAAUACCCGGCGGAACUGACGGUACCUGAGGAAUAAGCACCGGCUAACUUCGUGCCAGCAGCCGCGGUAAUACGAAGGGUGCAAGCGUUAAUCGGAAUUACUGGGCGUAAAGCGUGCGUAGGCGGUUUCUUAAGUCUGCUGUGAAAUCCCCGGGCUCAACCUGGGAAUGGCAGUGGAUACUGGGAGGCUAGAGUGUGUCAGAGGGUGGUGGAAUUCCCGGUGUAGCGGUGAAAUGCGUAGAGAUCGGGAGGAACAUCAGUGGCGAAGGCGGCCACCUGGGACAACACUGACGCUGAGGCACGAAAGCGUGGGGAGCAAACAGGAUUAGAUACCCUGGUAGUCCACGCCCUAAAACNAUGCGAACUGGAUGUUGGUCUCAACUCGGAGAUCAGUGUCGAAGCUAACGCGUUAAGUUCGCCNCCUGGGGAGUACGGUCGCAAGACUGAAACUCAAAGGAAUUGACGGGGUCAUAGCUGUUUCC
rnacentral:rRNA from 1 species